rnacentral:tRNA from 1 species
UAGCUCAGCUGGAUAGAGCGCUGCCCUCCGAAGGCAGAGGCCACAGGUUCGAAUCCUGUCGGGUGCACCA